GGGAAACCGGGGGUUUUUAGGGUAAAACAGCCCCAAACCCCCCUUUUUGGGGGAGGGGUGGUUUUUUUUGGUAAACCCCACCCUUUUGGGAGGGGUUUGGGGUUUCAAAAAAAUUUUUGGAUUGCCCGCUCCCAUCCGGGGAUGGUUCAUUCAGUUUCUGCCCUAUCAGCUUUGGAUGGAAGGGUAUUUGACUACAUGCUUUACGGGGAAACGAAUUGUUAGGGCAAGAUUUCGGAGAGGGAGCCUGAGAGACGGCUACCACAUCCCAGGGAAGGCAGCAGGCGCGUAAAUUACCCAAUCCUGACACAGGGAGGUAGUGACAAUAAAUAACAAUGCCGGGCCUUUACAGGUCUGGCAAUUGGAAUGAGAACAAUUUAAAUCCCUUAUCGAGUAUCAAUUGGAGGGCAAGUCUGGU
rnacentral:rRNA from 1 species